rnacentral:rRNA from 1 species
CUCUUGACAUCCAGAGAACUUUCCAGAGAUGGAUGGGUGCCUUCGGGAACUCUGAGACAGGUGCUGCAUUGGCUGUCGUCAGCUCGUGUUGUGAAAUGUUGGGUUAAGUCCGCAACGAGCGCAACCCCUAUCCUUUGUUGCCAGCGAUUCGGUCGGGAACUCAAAGGAGACUGCCGGCGAUAAACCGGAGGAAGGUGGGGAUGACGUCAAGUCAUCAUGGCCCUUACGAGUAGGGCUACACACGUGCUACAAUGGCGUAUACAAAGAGAAGCGACCUCGCGAGAGCAAGCGGACCUCAUAAAGUACGUCGUAGUCCGGAUUGGAGUCUGCAACUCGACUCCAUGAAGUCGGAAUCGCUAGUAAUCGUAGAUCAGAAUGCUACGGUGAAUACGUUCCCGGGCCUUGUACACACCGCCCGUCACACCAUGGGAGUGGGUUGCAAAAGAAGUAGAUAGCUUAACCUUCGGGAGGGCGUUUACCACUUUGUGAUUCAUGACUGGGGUGAAGUCGUAACAAGGUAGGCGUAGCGAG